rnacentral:rRNA from 1 species
UACGGGGGGGGCAAGCGUUGUUCGGAAUUACUGGGCGUAAAGGGCUCGUAGGUGGCCAACUAAGUCAGACGUGAAAUCCCCAGGCUCAACUUGGGAACUGCGUCUGAUACUGGAUGGCUUGAAUUCGGGAGAGGGGAUGCAGAAUUCCAGGUGUGAGCGGUGAAAUGACGUAGAUAUCUGGAGGAAUACCGGUGGCGAAGGCGGCAUCCUGGACCGAGAUUGACACUGAUGAGCGAAAGCGUGGGGAGCAAACAGG